UCCCUCAUCAUCAGUGUAUCAAAAGCUCGAGCUUGUGAUGAUGUCGGAGCGAAGAAGAGAGAAAGAUCAUUCCCGUGAUCGAGAGCGAGAUCGAGAGCGUGAUCGAGAUCUCGAUCGAGAAAGAGUUCGUCAUCGAGACCGUGAUCGAGAUCGAGAUCACCGAGAACGGGAUCGGGACAGGGACAGGGAUCGGGAACGCCGGAAGAGGUCCAGAUCGAGGUCCCGCUCGCCUGACAACUACCACCGGAGACGAGGCCGUUCCGGUACGCAUUCUCCAUCGCCGGACUCUCGGCGCCGUAAGCGCCGCCGAGAUGAAAGCGCUGAUGAUGAUCGUGAGCGUCGUCACCGCUCCACUUCGCAACCUGAGGACAGUAAAGGUGCGAAGGAACAGAAGGCUGCGGAAGCGCCGGCGGGAGGUGAGGCCGCGGCGGUGGUGCCCACUGAUGCUGACCCGGAUGAGGUGGAGAUGAUGAAGAUUAUGGGGAUUCCAAUGGGGUUUGAUUCGACAAAAGGGAAGCCUGUGCCUGGGGCUGAUGUUAGUGGGGUUAGGGUGGUGACGAAGAGGCAGCCAAGGCAGUACAUGAAUCGUCGGGGAGGCUUCAAUCGCCCACUUCCUCCGGAGCGGAAUCGCUAGGGCUUUGUUGGGAGAACAUUGGGAUAUGCUUGUGAAGGAUAUGCUGAUCAAUGCGUCAUACUUGAAUUGCCAAUCCGAUUGAAAAGCUGAAGCACCAUUCCACCUUCCUCUAUCAUGAGAACAGAAUGCUGCUUGUAUUCCAACUAUUCGGUUAUCAUGUUGUUUCUUCAGAUCCCUUGUUUUUGUGUUACAGAAAUUCUCAAAGACCCUUCAGGUAUAAAACUCUGAAAUCUGUCUCCUUUUUUAUUCUUUUUUUUUUUUUACCUAACAGUAACUUUAGGAGUUACACCGAAACCAAAUGUUUAUGCCAAUGUGUCUUGUGUUUUUAUAUAAAGGAAUUGGAGUUAGUGAACCGGGUCUGCCCAUUAAGGCCUGCUACUCUAUGACAUGGUUAAUGAGAAAGCAUUUGCUCAGACUAUUAUCUAGUUAUUCUUGAUAUUCAAAGCGGUUAAUACAUAGAUUUCUAGUGAGUAGCAAUUGUCAACUGAUCAAACUUAAAUGGUUUAUUGGUGCUUCAUGUGAAUAUGAAUUUUAGUUCCAUAUUACUCAAUUGUGAUUAAACUGAUAUCAGGUCAGUGCUCAACUUCAAGGGUCAUAAUGAAGUUCAGUUGGGUUUUCAUGGUGAGUUUCGGACUUAGAAACCUUAUUUAAUUGAUCUCUAGCUUGUAUUUUCUAUCUCACAGGAUCUAUAGGCCAUGAAUGUAAAAGAAUUGAUUGAGAGUUGAAUAGGAUGGGAUAUAUUUGAAUUCAAAUUGAAAAUAGAACAGCAUAUUGAAGCUAAUAAAUAAUAAGAUAAUAACAA